UAUUUUAACCCAGAUAGAGUAUUUUCAACAUUUUGGAGAGUAAAGUUGCUCUAUCAGUGGAGUUAAAAGUGAGUGUAAAAAUCUGCAGAAACGCAGCAUUUUCAACUCUACGGCAGUGAUGAAUACCCGCCAUUCUGCUGUGCUGAAGUGCCCGUAUGUCGGUGGAAGAAGACUGCGAUUGAGCGUUAUACCACUGAUAUAACUUGGGGCAAAAUGCUGUUGCGUGUUCAAUUCGGGGAAGAGCAGAAAUACGUCAAGCUGUCUGAGCUGACAUUUGAUGCUUUCUUGAAAGAAGCAUGUCUAAAAUUCAACAUACCAGAAAGCAGGCAGCCAGACAUUAAGGUUUAUGACCAGUCAGACACAGAAGUUGACAGAG